GACCCGUUGACGAGGCUAGUUUUUAUCCAGCUACCAACAGUGUAAGUCUCUCUCCAAACAAUUUAAACCCCGGCCCUCGACCUCGAGUAACCAUUGCCGAGGUCAGGUGCGUGUCCGGCCACCAACAUUACUUGACCUUGUGAUGGUUCCGCUUAUUACCUCUUAAAGUCAAUUGCCGUACUACUUUUCUAGUUUUAUAUAACUCCUCCUCCGGCGGUGGAGCAAUGGUUCGCGUAAAAGUGGAGCAGAGUCUGAAUGAGCCGCCAUCACUACUAGGACCAGUCAGGGUCAUCACCAAAACCAAAACCCCUCCCGCUCGUUGCUCUCGUACAAGAUCAAAACCCAAGACAACACCGAUGACGUGUCAAUAUGAGGAAGAAAGAGAGGAACACGAAGAGGAAGAGGAGGAGACUAGCAAUAACAACAGCAACGACGACGUUUCAGAUAAGGUGGGUCCCACGGUUGACGUGGCAGUCGCACAAGACGUUUUGGGCGGCGGCCCACUCUCGCGUCUCCGGGAGUUUCAUAACAGCGACCCCUCCAACAGCAGCAGCAGCAGCAGCAAUCUCAACCAACUGGAUUCGGCGGCGCGUGAACACUACGCGACGGCGGCGGAAUCGGUGAAGAAGCUGUUACUUUUGGAGCUCUCGUCGGCUCGGGACGUGGAAACGAUGGUGGAAUUGUCGAACAAGGCUUUCAAUAGCUUGGAUUGGCUUCAACCGGACUACUCUGAAUUCUACGACGCCGUUAAGGACGUCCUCUCUCUCCGCGCUCAACUCUCCUCCGUCGAGACCAAGCUCCGAACCCACCAAAACGAAGAAUCCGACGCCGUUUCGUCUCGCUGCGAUGUUGAAGUUCGGUCGAAAGAAUCGAUGGCAGCUCUGGCUAGAUCCGAAGCCGAGCUUGGGAAAGCCAAAGAGCGGGUUAGUGGUCUGAAGAGACGGGUUUCGGAGAUCAUGGACAUUUUGCGAAAGCUCGUGAUUGAAUCUGCUAAGGAAGAGAGGGUGCUUGCUGAUAUUGAAAAAGAAUGGAACCAAUGCCUUGAAUCUCACAUGGCUAUUAAGAAGGAAGAGAAAGAGUUAACUGAGCAAGUGGAGGAGAAGCAAAAGGCUGUCCAAAAGAUCAAGCAGCUUCGCGAUGAGGUCGAGGCUGGUGUUCAGGCCUCUAUAAAGGCUUUGUCUUCUCUCUGCCAAAACAAUGUAAUGUUACUGCAAACCCUCCCAAUUCUAUCUUCUUCUUUUUUUAAUAUAUACACACAAUUGUUGAGGUUGCAUAUUGUGGGGAACAAAACAAGGACCAAUAUUGAGCGGAUAGAAUGUGUUUUUUCGUGUUGUGAUUGUGUGUGAUAAAAGUGGUGUUCAUAGGGAUGGGUUCGCCAAAGUGUUGUCCCUAACCAGGGGCCUGCUGACUAUGAAAAUACCAAACACGUCUAAUUGUGCAUAUGAAUAGUUCAUAAUGGAGUAUUGGAGUUUUAGCUUUGACCUCAAUGAAUACAAAAAAUGAUGGAUUUAUUAGUAUCAUCUGUUAGAAUCAGUGCUGAUUUAUAUAAACAAUUUUCACUUCUGAGCAGAAAGUGAAAUUACUGACAUGAUAUUCAGUUCUUUAUUCUUUUGUUGGGAGGAGAAGAAGAGAGAGAGAGAGAGAGAGAGAGAGAGAGAGGAAGAGGGGGGUGCCUAGCAAAACAUAUUAAAAUUUGUGCUGUACUUAUGAUCACAGAAAUUUUGUGUGCUUAUUAUGAGAUGUGCAAUUGUAUUUGACUUAACCCUUUUUUGUAUUUUCUGAGAGAAUUGACUUCACUCUUUUGGAGUCCUCUUGUGCCUUUGUCCUAUAAGAGCUUGGGUUUCAAAGAGCCAAAACUUCCUGCGGAUGCUUGAGGAGCCUUGAGGGGUUAUUGGCACAGUUAGAAGAGGAAGUAUCAUUGGGUGCAGGGUGGGGGUGGUUGUAAGUAGCAACUAGCAACAUGCUGAAAUUUUAUACUGUAGUUGUGAUCUCAGAAAUUAUGGACAAUGUUGGUGGUGAUCAAUGACAUCUUGGCUUUAGCAGCUACUACCAUGUUUUUGAUUGCUCUUUUGACAGAGAGGAGCCAACUUUUGAUAAUAUCUCUGUCUGCUAUCUUUGUGUAUAACUCGCCAGAUGAACUUGGAUGGUAUAGAGGCUUCUCUUUCCCAUGCUUGAACUCAGAUGUGCUGUGCAUAUAACAACUUUUUGUAAUUUUGUUAAUGCAAUCUCUAACUGUUAGUUUCUUGUUUUCUGCUUAGUUUCUGCCAUGGAUGGAUAUAGGUUAUGGUAGACAGUCUAACUAUAUACAAAGACAGUCUAACUAUAUACAAAUAUACUUUUUAUACUUUUUAGCCCUAGAUUGAGUAGGGAGGAUGGGGAAGAUUAUUUUGGAUGGCAGAAUUUUUUUUUUUUGAUAUCUUCAAUGUCCUGCAAUUUGUAGUUUUGGACCUUCUAGGGGCCACUAUUUGUUGAAUGCGAAAGCUUGCUAUGUACUAUCAAAUAAUCUAAAGGCUGUGUUUCUUUAAGUUA